rnacentral:rRNA from 1 species
AUACGAAGGGUGCAAGCGUUACUCGGAAUUACUGGGCGUAAAGCGUGCGUAGGUGGUUGUUUAAGUCUGUCGUGAAAGCCCUGGGCUCAACCUGGGAAUGGCGAUGGAAACUGGGCGACUAGAGUGUGGCAGAGGGUAGUGGAAUUCCUGGUGUAGCAGUGAAAUGCGUAGAGAUCAGGAGGAACAUCCGUGGCGAAGGCGACUGCCUGGGCCAACACUGACACUGAGGCACGAAAGCGUGGGGAGCAAACAGGAUUAGAUACCCUGGUAGUCCACGCCCUAAACGAUGCGAACUGGAUGUUGGGUGCAAUUUGGCACGCAGUAUCGAAGCUAAUGCGUUAAGUUCGCCGCCUGGGGAGUACGGUCGCAAGACUGAAACUCAAAGGAAUUGACGGGG